rnacentral:rRNA from 1 species
GCCUAGCUGUAAACCUUAAAUUACACCUAAAUCGCCAGGGAACUACGAGCAAAGCUUAAAACCCAAGGGACUUGACGGUAUCCCCACAUCCACCUAGAGGAGCCUGUCCUAGAAUCGAUAAUCCCCGUUUAACCUCACCACUUUUAGCCUACUCAGCCUGUAUACCUCCGUCGUCAGCUUACCACGUGAGCGAUCAAUAGUGAGCUUCAUGUCCACUCGUCAAAACGUCAGGUCAAGGUGCAGCUUACAAAGUGGGAAGAGAUGGGCUACACUCUCUAACCUAGAAAAUACGAAAAACUAUCUAUGAAACCUAGUCAGAAGGCGGAUUUAGUAGUAAAAAGAGAUAAGAAAGCUCUUUUUAACAGGGCACGGGGUGUGUACACACCGCCCGUCACCCUCUUCAAAGCUAAAAAUUAGUAUUUAACCACUUAAAGCAAAACAGAAGAGGCAAGUCGUAACAUGGUAAGUAUACCGGAAGGUGUGCUUGGAAAC